rnacentral:rRNA from 1 species
GCAUAAUCACUUGCCCAUUAAUUGUGGGCUAGAAUGAAAGGACCAACGAAAUAAAGACUGUCUCUAUAAGCAAAAUAAAAAUUAAUCUCUAACUGAAGAGUGUUAGAUUAUGUCGAAGGACAAGAAGACCCUAUAGAGCUUAAUUCUAAUAAAAAUAUAUAUUUUAAUAAAAUUCGGUUGGGGCGACCAGGGAAUACAAAUCAUCCCUAUUCAAAAGAUACAUAAAUCUUGAAAAUGACCCUUAAACAAGAUCACAAAAACAAGCUACCUUAGGGAUAACAGGCUAAUCCCAUUAAAGAGUUCUUAUCAAUAGUGGGGG